AUUGAACGCUGGCGGCAGGCCUAACACAUGCAAGUCGAGCGCGCGGCGGACGGGUGAGUAAUGUCUGGGAAACUGCCUGAUGGAGGGGGAUAACUACUGGAAACGGUAGCUAAUACCGCAGACCCUCAGAUCUGCCCAGGCGGUAUUAGCUAGUAGGUGGGGGAAUGGCUCACCUGGGCGGCGAGCCCUAGCUGGUCUGAGAGGAUGACCAGCCACAGUGGAACUGAGACAGGGUCCAGCCUCAUACGGGAGGCAGCAGUGGGGAAUAUUGCAAAAUGGGCGAAAGCCUGAUGCAGCAAUGCCGCGUGUGUGAAGAAGGCGUUCGGGUUGUAAAGCACUUUCAGCGGGGAGGCGUUACCCGCAGAGGAAGAACCGGCUAACUACGUGCCAGCAGCCGCGGUAAUAC
rnacentral:rRNA from 1 species